ensembl:lncRNA
AGGAAACUGCUUAUCUUUUGCCCAGAAAAAUGCUGUGGUGUUCCUGGAUUUAAUAAAAGAUGAAGGCAGUCUCAGGGGACAUUUCUUCAGGCCCCCUUCCUUUGUACUUUUCCAGAACAUUCAACUUUAGUUUGACAAACAAGAUUAGAAAUUGCACUUUCAUAUACUAGCAAUUAAUUCUGGGGAAAAAAUAUCACGAGGUGGUGGUAUCUUUAUAGUUUCCACUUGGUUGAAAACACUGCAUUUUAGUUUCCUGUGUGAAAAAGGAAGCCCCUGCAAAUUCCCCUGCAAAGCUUCUUGUUCUCUGUCAGAGAAAUUACUUAGAAGCCUAGUAACUCUUGUUCUCAUUUUUCUGAAUUAUGUCUUCUUCAUGGUUAAUCCUAGCAGUGUGGAAUCUGUUUUUUGUUUUCUGAAUCAGAAGCAACUCUUUAUUGAAACAACUCUUUUUAAAGGAGUAUUGAUAUAAUCUGAUUAGUGACAUUGUUAGAUAAUUCAGGUUGUACUCUGGCGAGAUCGGAGACCAUGAUUUAUGUCAGAGGCCAGCUAGCUUUUUCUGCAAACGUCCAAAUGGCAAGUAUUGGGUUUUGCCUGGCAGGCGGUCUGUGGGCAAGUGUUUAGAAGCAGUUACAGACAGUCCAUAUAGAAACCAGAGUGGCUGACUUGCAAUCAAACUAUGUGUGGGGGUGAAAUUCAUCUUUCAUAUCAUUUCCAUAGGUCAAAAAUAUUCUCUUGUAUUUUUUUCAACCAUUAAAAAGUUAAAAAAGAAAACCCACUCUCACCUUAUAAACUGUAGGAAAAUAGAUAAGGAACAACACCUAGUAUAAAGUGAGGCUGCUCACAUUAAUCCAUGUGUGUAAUUGCUGUAGAGAGGUCUAAACUAAAUGUAAGUCAGUAAACAGGGACUUGUUUGAAUAGUCAGGAAUCUAUUGGUUGCCUAAAUCUUGAUUUCUCUUUUUCUCGUAUUUUUAGGCUAACAUACAAAAUAACAUUUGCAUGCGUAUGGGUCAUUGCACAUUACUGUCACCUACACCCAAACAUUUUAUGCCACUCCAGCUGGCUCCUCCCUUUCCUUCAGGGGGUUGGCCCACUCUUCAGCUUUCUUUUUUUUGUAGUGUGUCACAUAGUCCCAGCUUGGCCUCAGUCUCCUGUCCAGUUGAGCACAAGCUGGAAUUCUCAAUCUGCUGGUCUCUCCUUUGCAAGUGCUGCGAUCAUAGGCUUGUAUCCUUAAACUGUGCUUCCUCCUCUCUUCCUGUUACAUUUGCUCUGCUUCCUGGGCUCUCCAUCCUUUGCAGCCUCUUCUUCCUAUCUCAGGCCGUCAUUUCUGGUCUCAUAUCCCACACUCAUAACUACAAACAAUCAGAAUUCAAACUCUGGGUUCUACACACCAGAGAGACACUGCAGUAUUUAUAGCCGGGAUGGUUCUAAAUAGCUACAGCAUCAAAUACAGAUGGAUAAACAUUUUUCUGAUACUUUGAUUCAGAGUCUCUUCAUGAUAUAGCCAAGAAUGUUAUAAUUUGGCCUGAUAGUAGUUCUAGUUUUUGGAGGUUUGCCCCUUUUUGUUUUUUGUGUUUAGUUGUUUUUAAAGAUUUAUUUUACUUUAUGUGUAUGGAUACUUUGCACACACACAUGUAUGUACACCAUGUGUGUACUGAGUGCCUGCAACGGUCAAAAGAAGGUGUUUGAUUCCCUAGAACUGGAGCUAUAGAUGGCUUCGAGUCACUAUGUGGGUGCUAGGUGCUGAACACGGGUUCUCUACAAAAGUAGCAAGUGCUUUAAACUGCUGAGUCAUCUCUUCACACCCAGCCCUGUUUUUCUUGUUUGUUCUUCAAGUAGCUGUUCUUGUUCUUGUUCAAGUUAACCUCUAACUUCAUGUAUAGCUGAGGAUAACCUUGAAUGUCUGAGCCACCUUGCUUCUACUUAACAAGGGCAAAGAUUACAGGCCUGCACCACAAUAAUGUGUGGCAUUGUGGAUUGGGCCCAGGCCUAGAACAAGUGAGGAAAACUCCUGUGAAAAUUUACACUUCUAAAAGCAAUGAAUAUGGGUUGACCUUAUUCUCCAAGUCCUGUCAUCUCAUUUGUUUUCUUGACGAUGGCCAUUUUGAUAGACUUUGCCAUUUUAGGAGUUUCUGUGAAGGCUUUAGGAUCUUUGAACUACAGGAUCACACCAUCUAAAAAUAGAGAGAGUUUGAUUCCCUCCUUUCCUUAUCCAUAUCCCUCUCAUUUCUUUUUCUGUCUUACGAUCUAGCUAUGAUUACUCGAGCUACUCAAUAGGAGUAAAGAGAAUGGGCACUCUUGUCUUGGUCCAGAAUUUAGAGAAAUAAAAUUAGCUAUAGGGCUGUCAUAACCUUGAUAUGAUUAUGUUGAGGGAUGGAUUUUCUUCUUUUGUUGUUGUUGUUGUUUGGAUUUUAUUUCAUUUUAUUUUUUAUUUUUUAUUUUAUUUUUCAAGGCACACUUUCUCUGUGUAGCUCUGGCUGUCCUGGAAACUGAUCUGCUAUAGCACACUCUGGCCUUGAACUCAGAGAUCCACCUGCCUUUGCCUCUAGAGUGCUGGGCUUAAAAGCCUAUACCACCACUACUGGGCUUUUCUUCAGGGAUUUUUAUCAUGAAUCAAUACUGAACUUUGACAAAGGUGUUUCAAUCUUGGCUUUUUAAAGUUGUUAUAAGGUACUAAACAGGGGAAUGCCUCAGGGAGUCUUGAUGAGCAUGCCUGACAAGAAGCUGUAUGAUACUUUUAGGUUCCAUGUUUUGUCUUAAAUUUAGCUUCUAGUUUCCAAUUAGCCUGCAAAUUUACAACUUCUGAGAAGAAGACCUCUUUGUUGAUUCAGAUCCCAGAAGGCCUGUUUGCUUCUUCAGAUCUACUUCUGCAAACUCUGAAAAGCCCAAAUGGCAAAGUCAGAUACUAUCACAAGCCACAAGUCAGACAAGGGUGCUAUAGUGGUACAGACUUGAAUCUCAGUUACUUACGGGCCUGAGACAGGAUGAUCCCAAGUCUAGCCCAGGCUACAGAAUAAAUGUGAGCCACAGGAAUAACGUAGUGAGUUAUUCCUAUACUUUUAUUCCCUCUAAAAGUAAGGGAGGGGGAAAUGGAUCAAUAGUUAGCAGAACUUAAUGACCAUCCAGAAGACCUAAGUUCCAUUCCAGCACCUAAGUAGGGUAUAGCAUAACUGCCUGUGACUCCAGUUCCAGGGCGUCUGAUACUUCUCUGUCCUCUGGAAAGAGUGUGCUUUCACAGACCCACACCCAGACACACAUUGCUAAAAUUCAAUAACAUUAAAUUCUGUUAUUAAAAAUUAAAAUAAAACAAUUAAGGAAAAAAUAUAAACUGGAUUGCAACUGUAGCUCAGUGGUAAAGCACUUGCCUCCUAUGUUCAAGGGCCCAGGUUUAACUCCAGGACUUCAAAAGGCAAACAAACAAAAAUGAGACGGUCACAUCACUUAUCAAGCUUCCACCAGAAAUAAUUGUUUUGACAAUUUCUGCAACAGGAAUGUUUUCAUUUCUGCUUUUCUGUGAAGAAAAUUAAGAAGGGCUUCAUGUACUGCCGUAGUAACUGGGGGAAAAAAAGAGUAUACAAAGCCUUAACCCACUGAAAUGGAGUCUUCUGUAAGUAAACUAAGAGCUGAAUGAAACCAGAAAAAAUUUGUCCUGCACCUUAGAUUCCUAUAGAAAGGUGCACAUGUCAAUUAUUUCAGAGACCUGAUUGGUUAGCCUUGACAACUAGGUGAGUCCUCUCUUUCAGGUUUAGCCAGAUUCACCAGUUGAUAUAUCGCUUUUGUUUUCCUCCCAAGGCACUGCGUCAAAAGUUCAAACCAAUAUCAUCAGCCAGCUUUGAUUUACUUCCAAAAGAUUCCUUUCACAUUCUUUUAAUACAAGUGUCUGAUAUCCUCUUUUAAGAGUGUAAUAAAAAAAAAAAAGGAUCCUAAAAGUUACUAGUUUCUUAGCCUGGUAAGUUACCAUGGCAACCAUUAGCCUCCUGGAAAAAAAGUAGCAAGGGUUUCUAUUUUGUUUCCAUCAUGGUGCUACACAGUCCCAUUCUAUCCUUUGGAUCCUAAGGUGAGAUCAGUGCUAAUUCUGUAGAUUGCUCUUUUUCCUUCAAGGGGUAAAACUGGGAAAAACUCACUCACCUUCCCCCUCCCUCCCCUUUGUUCCCCCUCUCCCUUUGUAUCCCUCCUCUUCUUUUCUGAAAUGGGAAUGAUUGCAAUCAAAGGACUAUUUAUUGUAGAAGGUAGUUUUGCCUUGGCUUUUGAAUUUUUUAUACAACUUUACUUUUUCCCUUACCUGCUAGAUAGGUAUGUUAUACUUAAAACUAGAAUCCAACUACAUACAAUGUUUUCCCAUUGCCAUUGGUACUUUAGGUCAGCAAGGGCAGAGGCAUAGCAAAGACAGC